rnacentral:ncRNA from 1 species
AGCGAAUCGUUGAUGAGGACAGUACCCUUGGACUUACGGCUGUAGCGAAUCGGGGAUGGUGGAAGCCCGAUGCCCGACCAAGUGCGGAAGCGCCCCUCGGAGAUGCGGCCUGAACAUCUGACGCUAUGAAGUAAGCGGCUGGAUUGUGUAGGGUUUUGCCGGGUCUGCCCGUUACAGCAGCGCAAAGCGGUUUUUGCCUCAACCAAAUCAUGCAGGCAAAAACAACAAGAGUGGCACCGCGGGAGCACAACCUCUCGUCUCUUUU